CAAAACUCAAGUAUUAACAUUAAUGGUAUGGAAAACACAUUUUUUUCACAUUGUUAUACAAUUAUAAUCAUAUAGCAAUUUACAUGUUUUCCUCAAAUUUUGAAUUGAAGCUAGGUUAUCGAUAACAAAACGAAUAACUAUAUAUCCUAAGGAUAUUAAAUGAUUUUAUUUCCCUCAUAACUGUGGUGUUGGUUAACGUAAUGGUUCAAUUUGUCAAAAGCAGUUCAAAUUACAUUUUUGGACUAUCUUCUGGCGUUUAUAAUUUAUUUAGAUGAUAUGUUAAGAAGUGAGCCUAAGAGUUUUGAAACCUUUGCAUGCUUUAACUACCGAUAUGACAGAUCAAUCAUGGUAGAGCCCGAAUAGGCUUGCUGUAACUACUGACCUAACAGAGAUCAUUCAUGUUAGAGCCAGAGUAAAACUCGCUCUACCUGAUAUUACAGAUCAUUCAUGGAAUAUCUUAAAUAGGGCAUGUUCUAUCUCAUGAUAUAACAGAUAACUUUUUGUAGAACUUGAAAAAUACUUGCUCUACCUACUAAUAUCAUAAGUUAUAUGGUUCGCUACUGACCCCCUACGGAUCCAUAGAGGGUUAGUAAAUUUCAUAGGAGGGAGGCCGGAGGUGGUCCGUAGGGGGUCAGUAGUUAACCAUAUAACGAAUUUAUCGUACGCUGGACUUUUUCUGCUGUGUUAUGUUGAAAAAUAAACAAUGAAACACAACACCAUUAAUAGAUGACGUCACCAUUAACGCGUAAUGAACCCCCUAUGAAAUUUACUAACCCACUACGGUCUUAUAGGGGGUCAACACGUGACGGCGUUAAACCAAUCACAACGUGAUAUUUUACCCGCGGUGCGAUAAGAUAUAUAAUUCAUGGUAGAGCCUGGAAAGGACUUGCUCUACCUUCUAGAAUGAAAUUCAAAACAGUGUGGCUGUGGCCAUUGAUUGACACGUUAAGUUCAUCCAUUGACUGGGACAAUUUACGUGAACGUUUGUCUGUAACGACCACUGUUCACGACGUACUUACGAUAGACAUUUAAACUGUGGGGUCACCAAAGGUUUCUUAACGCCUUUAAUUAUAAAAUAAUUCGAAAAAUAAUAACCCUUAUGUUUUGAUUUAUAUAAUUGAUAUAAAUCAAAACAUCGUGUUUUUUCUGAUUAAUUUUUCGAAUUACUUUAUUAAGGUGUUGGGAACCUUUGGUGACCCCAUAGUUUAAGUGUCUUUAAAAAGUACAUAGUGAGCAGUGGUCAUUACAUACAAACGUUCACCUAAAUUGUCCCAGUCAAUGGAUGAAUUUAAUGUGUCAAUCAAUGGCCACAGCCACACUGUUUGGAAUUUCAUUCUACUUCCUACUAACAUGAUAUAUCAUUCACGGUUGAGACUGAAUAGGGCUUGAUCUACCUACUGAUAUGACAGAUCAUGCAUGGUACAGCCCUAUUUCUAAUCAGUUUUCUUCAAAUUUGUUUUUGUGCAUCAAAAUACUUAUAACAUUUCUUGUUGCAAUAUUUCAAAAAAAUAGCCUCUGCAUGUACACACAACUUCAUUACUAUGGAAACUGAAAUUUCACUAUAAAAGUUUCUUUUGAAGAUAUGAAUAAAGCACUAGAGUUAAUACAGCCUGAUUGAUCUUUAAAAGUUUCAAUUGCAGGUUGACUGAACCCGAUUUAAAACCAACAGUUACCUGCACAGACGGUAUUUAAAAAAGCCAAAGACUAUAUGAGGUAUGAUGGAAGAGAACUGGAAACCUUCAAGCUGCGAAACAAUCUUUCAUUGAUGAUAUACACCAUUUCAUAUAUACUGUCAUCAUGUUUAUAUAAAUGUUCC
rnacentral:lncRNA from 1 species